AUUGAACGCUGGCGGAAUGCUUUACACAUGCAAGUCGAACGGCAGCACGGACUUCGGUCUGGUGGCGAGUGGCGAACGGGUGAGUAAUACAUCGGAACGUGCCCAGGCGUGGGGGAUAACGUAGCGAAAGCUACGCUAAUACCGCAUACGAUCUAAGGAUGAAAGCGGGGGAUCGCAAGACCUCGCGCGAUUGGAGCGGCCGAUGGCAGAUUAGGUAGUUGGUGGGGUAAAGGCUCACCAAGCCGACGAUCUGUAGCUGGUCGGAGAGGACGACCAGCCACACUGGGACUGAGACACGGCCCAGACUCCUACGGGAGGCAGCAGUGGGGAAUUUUGGACAAUGGGCGCAAGCCUGAUCCAGCCAUUCCGCGUGCAGGAUGAAGGCCCUCGGGUUGUAAACUGCUUUUGUACGGAACGAAAAGGCUCUGGUUAAUACCCGGGGCUCAUGACGGUACCGUAAGAAUAAGCACCGGCUAACUACGUGCCAGCCGCCGCAGUAAGAC
rnacentral:rRNA from 1 species